rnacentral:rRNA from 1 species
GACAGAGGUGCCGAGCGUUAGGCGGAAUCACUGGGCUUAAAGCGUGUGUAGGCGGAUGCCUAAGUACCUUGUGAAAUCCCACGGCUCAACCGUGGAACUGCUUGGUAUACUGGGUGUCUUGAGCUAUCUAGGGGCAACUGGAACAAACGGUGGGAGCGGUGAAUGCGUAGAUAUCGUUUGGAACGCCAAUGGUGAAAACAGGUUGCUGGGGAUAUGCUGACGCUGAGACACGAAGCCAGGGGAGCAAACGGG